rnacentral:snRNA from 1 species
UAACUCUGGUUCCAUUGCAUUUAACCGAGAAAAUCUUUCGCCUUUUACUAAAGAUUUCCGUGCAAAGGAGCAAACUGUGAGUAUUAUCACCAAUUUUUGGAGUCCCCUCGGAAGAGCGGGA